UACGAAGGGUGCAAGCGUUACUCGGAAUUACUGGGCGUAAAGCGUGCGUAGGCGGUUUGUUACGUCUGCUGUGAAAGCCCCGGGCUCAACCUGGGUACGGCAGUGGAUACUGGCAAGCUAGAGUGUGUCAGAGGAUGGUGGAAUUCCCGGUGUAGCGGUGAAAUGCGCAGAGAUCGGGAGGAACAUCAGUGGCGAAGGCAGCCAUCUGGGACAACACUGACGCUGAGGCACGAAAGCGUGGGGAGCAAACAGG
rnacentral:rRNA from 1 species